GUCCGCGUAGCUCAGUUGGAUAGAGCGUCUGCCUCCGGAGCAGAAGGUCGUGGGUUCGAGUCCCUCCGCGGAUG
rnacentral:tRNA from 1 species